rnacentral:tRNA from 1 species
UUAGAGAAAGAGGACAAACCCCUCCUUAAUGGUA